rnacentral:rRNA from 1 species
AGGACGAACGCUUGCGACGUGCCUAAGAAAUGCAAGUCGAACGAGGCAGCAAUGCCGAGUGGCGAACGGUCGCGUAACACGUGGGCAACCUGCCCUGAAGCGGGGGACAACAACUUGAAAGAGUUGCUAAUACCGCAUGUGAAUCGUGGUGGCAUCACCGAGGAUUCAAAGCCGCAAGGCACUUCAGGAUGGGCCCGCGGCCUAUCAGCUAGUUGGUGAGGUAACGGCCCACCAAGGCUUCGACGGGUAGCUGGUCUGAGAGGACGAUCAGCCGGAUUGGGACUGAGAUACGGCCCAGACUCCUACGGGGGCAGCAAUUAGGAAUCUUGCGCAAUGGGCGAAAGCCUGACGCAGCGACGUCGCGUGAAGGAUGAAAUCUUUCGGGAUGUAAACUUCUUUUUUCGGGGAAGUAAACAAAUGACGGUACCGAAGAAUAAAGCCCGGCUAACUACGUGCCAGCAGCCGC